rnacentral:rRNA from 1 species
GAGCACGUAGGUGGGUUUGUAAGUCAGAUGUGAAAGCCUCCUGUUCAACGGGAGACUUGCAUCUGAAACUACUGAUCUUGAGUGUAGGAGGGGAGAAUGGAACUUCUGGUGGAGCGGUGAAAUGCGUAGAUAUCAGAAGGAACGCCGGCGGCGAAAGCGAUUCUCUGGCCUAUUACUGACACUCAGUGUGCGAAAGCUAGGGGAGCAAACGGGAUUAGAUACCCCGGUAGUCCUAGCCGUAAACGAUGGGCACUAAGUAGAGGGGUUUU